rnacentral:lncRNA from 1 species
CUGAAGGAGAAAGAGGCAAAAAAGCACUUAUGAAGUCUGUAUUCUAUUUGCUGAGAAAUGUAUAUAUUGUUUGGUGAAAUCUCUACAUCUAAGUUUAAGUUUGUUUUUGUGGGAUUUGGUUUAUGUGCCACAAACGAACCUCGUGACAACGUGUAAACCACAUCUAGAUUAUCCAAUCAAGAUCGGAUGGUCUAGAUUUUAAACUUGACACUUGAAAUAUGUAUUAUCUUGUCGUGAUCGGACAGUCUGGAUGUGGUUGACUGCAUAUAGUCACAUAGCACACAAUCCAAAUCGAUUAGUUUGAGUCUGAGGUAUGUAGUUCGAAUGGUGAGUUAAGAGAAAUCAAAAGUGCUUAAAGUAGGAGGUCUAGGAUUUGAACCCAGGAAACUAACAUAAUCACUAACUUACAAAUAUUUUGCCAAUAAAAAAAGUGGAUUCUUAAACUGAAAGUGAGUUAAGCGAAACCGAAAGUGCGUUAAGUAAGAGGUCUAGGAUUUAAACCCUAAAAACUAACAUAAUCACUAACUUGCUUAUGUUUUCAUUUUGCCUGUAUAAAAAAGUAAGUUCUUGUUGUCAUGUUGGUUGAGAGACCAAAAUAAAUUUCAAGAUCUAAAUUAUUCAAGUCAAACCCAACAAUCCUUUAACAAGAAUUGAGAAUUGAAUACAAAUUGGUUGUUAUCUUUCUAGUAGACCACCGAAGUAUCUAUAUAUAGUUCUUUUUUCACUAGAUAAAGAUUAUGGGUACAUAAUUAUUAUGUUUAGUUGGAGAAUAUUUAUGAUUCAUAUCUGCUAGCAACAGCUGUCUUGGUCUCAGAUCUGAUUUAGUAUGUAAAUUAAACUAGACCACUUCUUUGAACUAAUAAUUUCCAUCUCAAGUUCAUAAUAAACAAAAUUCCAAACACCAAACUAAAACAUUCUCAUAGCCUAGAAGAAAACAUUUAAAUCCAAGAAACUUGUUGUGCUUACAAGUUCAUUCCUUUCAAUUUUUUCUAUGAUUCCUAUGCUUAAUAAUUAAAAUCCCCCUUGAGGCUUUCAUGAUAAUAAUGGACAAAAAACACAAUCAAAUAUGGAAAGGAAAACAAACAUAAGGUAUAAAUAGAAAUAUUUAGCAAGACACAUAAUUUUACUUAACUUUAAGCCGAACUCUAGAUUACUAAAGUAUAGGAUUAAAACCAAAAAUACAUAUAUGAUAUGAGUUAUGAGAGAAUUACCAGUUAGCAGCAGAGAAAUGUUUCACGGACUCUUGAUCACUGAUGCUGUUAAUGUCAAUAUUAUUGAUACUAUUAGAAGUAGUCAUGGCUAAGAAAGAAUAAACUGAAGAAGAUAAC